rnacentral:rRNA from 1 species
UACGUAGGGUCCGAGCGUUGUCCGGAAUUACUGGGCGUAAAGAGCUCGUAGGUGGCUUGUCGCGUUGUUCGUGAAAACUCACAGCUCAACUGUGGGCGUGCGGGCGAUACGGGCAGACUUGAGUACUGCAGGGGAGACUGGAAUUCCUGGUGUAGCGGUGAAAUGCGCAGAUAUCAGGAGGAACACCGGUGGCGAAGGCGGUUCUCUGGGCAUGAUCUGACGCUGAGGAGCGAAAGUGUGGGGAGCGAACAGG